rnacentral:tRNA from 1 species
AUGUUAUAUACUGCAUAUAAACAAGUACCAUCUUAUAAUGACUUUCACUCUGGAGUUUUACAACGCGGGGUGGUUGGUGUAAUGGUUAGCAUUGCUGCCUUCCAAGCAGCAGACAUGGGUUCGAUUCCCGUACCACUCAAUUUUUUUGUCCAUUCUAAUGCCUAUGUUCACAGGAAUGAAACAAUGACAUUAACAGCACCCAAAAUACCUUUUUUUUUUUUUUCGAUCCAGAUUAUUCAAUCCCCCACGAUAUAUCAACUCAAUGUUGUACUCCCACGAGAACUGCAGAGCCAUUGA